rnacentral:rRNA from 1 species
GAACCGUCCAAACGUUAUUCGGAAUCACUGGGCUUAAAGGGUACGUAGGCGGCGCUGUUAGUCGGGUGUGAAAUCCCUCGGCUCAACCGAGGAAUUGCGUCCGAUACUGCAGUGCUUGAGGGAGACAGAGGUAAGCGGAACUGAUGGUGGAGCGGUGAAAUGCGUUGAUAUCAUCAGGAACACCGGUGGCGAAAGCGGCUUACUGGGUCUCUUCUGACGCUGAGGUACGAAAGCUAGGGGAGCGAAGGGGAUUAGAUACCCCCGUAGUCCUAGCCGUAAACUCUGAGCACUUGAUCGUGGACCCCCCCAUAGGUUCUCGGUCGUAGCGAAAGUGUUAAGUGCUCCGCCUGGGGAGUAUGGUCGCAAGGCUGAA